rnacentral:rRNA from 1 species
UACGUAGGGGGCAAGCGUUGUUCGGAAUUACUGGGCGUAAAGAGUGUGUAGGCGGUGUUCCCAGUCUGUUGUGAAAUCUCCCGGCUUAACUGGGAGGGUGCAGCGGAAACUAGAAUGCUAGAGGGUGGGAGAGGUAAGCGGAAUUCCUGGUGUAGCGGUGAAAUGCGUAGAUAUCAGGAGGAACACCGGUGGCGAAGGCGGGUCUCUGGGCAAUAACUGACGCUGAGGAGCGAAAGCGUGGGGAGCGAACAGG